GAUGAACGCUGGCGGCGUGCCUAAUACAUGCAAGUCGAGCGAACAGAUGAGGAGCUUGCUCCUCUGACGUUAGCGGCGGACGGGUGAGUAACACGUGGAUAACCUACCUAUAAGACUGGGAUAACUUCGGGAAACCGGAGCUAAUACCGGAUAAUAUAUUGAACCGCAUGGUUCAAUAGUGAAAGACGGUUUUGCUGUCACUUAUAGAUGGAUCCGCGCCGCAUUAGCUAGUUGGUAAGGUAACGGCUUACCAAGGCAACGAUGCGUAGCCGACCUGAAAGGGUGAUCGCCCACACUGGAACUGAGACACGGUCCAGACUCCUACGGGAGGCAGCAGUAGGGAAUCUUCCGCAAUGGGCGAAAGCCUGACGGAGCAACGCCGCGUGAGUGAUGAAGGUCUUCGGAUCGUAAAACUCUGUUAUUAGGGAAGAACAAAUGUGUAAGUAACUAUGCACGUCUUGACGGUACCUAAUCAGAAAGCCACGGCUAACUACGUG
rnacentral:rRNA from 1 species